rnacentral:lncRNA from 1 species
ACAAAAUCUAGUCACAUUGCAAAAAAAAAACACUGGGAAUCUCUAGUUUCUUUUUGUUUAUUUAUAUAUUUCUAAUUUGCUGAUUAGUCAUAUAUAUAUGACCUUAUUAUUAUUAUGACGACAUUGUAUAAUUGUCUUUUUUUUAAAAGGAUAAUUUAGCUAAAUAUGGAUUAAAUGUAAAUUUUGGAGAUCACGAGGACGUUAGGAAGAGAGUAAUCCUGUUUUUAAAUUUGCGUGGUGACUGGUGAGUGAGAGUGAUAAAGCUUUUCUGAAAGUGCCAUAAAUGAGUUUUUCUUGUUUGCUCGCAAGUUUUUUUUAUUUUUUUUUGGUUAUUGACGUGAAGUAUCAUCGUCAUCAAUGAUCGGAUUGAGAAACAGUAAAGACACAAAUCUAAUAAACGGAAAGGGUUUAAUUAUCAAUGCUGAUUUUUAUGAGUGAUGGAUAAUAUUAUUAUUACAGCUUCUUUUAUAAUAGUAUAGAUAUCUCUUUUUGUAGUUUAAUACUAGUACAAUUGUAAUAAAACUUUUGACAAAAAGACAUUUAGAAUAAAAGGGUGAAUGAGAGAGUGUUGUUGAAUGAAAUUAAAAAAUAGAAGAAGAAGAAGAGUGAAGAAUGUGAACACUGGAAGAAGAAGAAGAGAGUGUGUUGUCGGAAUAAUGCGAUUCCUGGACGCCGCGUGUCUGCCAAAACUGCGUCGGUCUCUCGCGUUUCGCUUCCUUCGUUAUGUUUUUUUAAUUAAUUAUUUUAGCGUUUUCCAAUUGCUGUAAGCACUAAAGCAUGAUACUGUGCUUUUUAACGUUCUACCGACUAAGUAAUGGAGUUCAUGUACUUGUGUGGUAUAUAAUUAGUGUAAUUGGAUGGUGGAUGUGAAUAAAUAAUAAUUAUUAGUUAAAUAAAAUCUUUAAACAGUCUCUUAAUAGAAAAGUUAAAAAAGAAUUUGAGAUACUUGGAUUCUAGAAAGC